UUGGAUUUACUACUUGAAUGUUGGUAUUUUCAAUGGAUUGAGUUGCAAAGUGUUCGACCCCGAGUAUUUUGACCUUCCAGAACCCUUACACGAACCACUUAGAAACCGUGAUUUGAAGCCAUCUACAAUUUUUGGGCCGACUUGUGAUUCUAAUGACGUCAUCAUGGCUAACUGUAUGUUGCCUGAGAUGGACACUGGAGAGUUUGUCUUGUUCCAUGAUAUGGGAGGCUAUACCGCUACGUGUGCAUGCGAUUUUAACGGUUUCAGCUUGCCGUCAACGUGGUACAUUGCACCCAAAGAGAUCCGACUCGUUCUGGAGAAGAAUUUUCCAGCACAUUAGACUUUUUGGUUUCGGCUUAAGCCAGAAGUCAGUUCCCGAGUGAAAGUCUGACGUAACAAUAGGGUGUGCAACCAUUUUCCAGCUUUUCGUCAUGGUGGAUGUUCAUGGUCGGGGCAGUAUAUUGUUGAUGUACCCCAACAUGGCGCGGCCCCUAUAACGUGGCACAGUGAUUUUUAUAGCGCCUAGCUAGAGUAAAAGGUUUAACUGAAAUUUCACAGAAAGUGCAGUUUCAUCAAGUUCUAAGCACUCCCGUUGAUAAAUCACGAGUUUAUCUACCUGUUCAAAAAGUUAGAAGAAACAUUUAGUUCGGCGUGAUUUUCCGAUUUAUUUCGAAUGUAAC